AUGAGGGUAGCAACCAGACGAGGGGCAUGCCUGGGCCGCCGUGCUAUCUUACGGCUGCACGAGGCCUCUGACGGCAGGGUCGCGAUAGCUGGACCUCGGCGCCCUCCUGCCUGGCCAAGCCCCAGUAGCAAAACCAAAGGUACAAUUCCUGAAUCAUCCGCUGUUUCAAUUUCAAAUGCUUGCAAGGCCGAAAUUUUCCUCUGUGAUGGCAUCAAGUGGCUUGCCCCAGUAGAAGGAAGACAAAAUGGAGAUAAUCUGCAUCGCCUACAGAUCAGCUUGCCUUGGUUUCACUCUGAACAUGGGGGACGAUCAGAAGAGAGAUAA
rnacentral:rRNA from 1 species